GCCACCAUGGCGCAGGCACAAGCGUGUGGCUGUAAACAAGGUUGUGGGUUCGAUUCCCACUGGGGGAA
rnacentral:tRNA from 1 species